CCUACGGGAGGCAGCAGUCGAGAAUCAUUCUCAAUGGGGGAAACCCUGAUGGUGCGACGCCGCGUGGGGGAAUGAAGGUCUUCGGAUUGUAAACCCCUGUCAUGGGGGAGCAAAUGAAGAACAUAGUACGACAAGAGGAAGCGACGGCUAACUCGGUGCCAGAAGUCGCGGUAACACAGAGGGCUAAAGCGGGGUUCGGAAGCAAUGGGCGGAAAGCGUGCGGAGGCUGGGUUGUAAGGCGGGUGUGAAAGGCGGGGGCGUAAACCGCGGCCGGCACCUGAUACUGCGGGUCUAGAGUGAGGGAGGGGGAACCGGAAUGCGCGGUGUAGCAGUGAAAUGCGUAGAUAUCGGGAAGAACACUCGUGGCGAAGGCGGGUUCCUGGACAUUAACUGACGCUGAGGCACGAAGGCGAGGGGAGCGAAAGGGAUUAGAUACCCGAGUAGUC
rnacentral:rRNA from 1 species